UACGUAGGGUGCGAGCGUUGUCCGGAAUUAUUGGGCGUAAAGAGCUCGUAGGCGGUGUGUCACGUCGGCCGUGAAAACCUGCAGCUUAACUGUGGGCGUGCGGUCGAUACGGGCAUCACUGGAGUUCGGCAGGGGAGGACUGGAAUUCCUGGUGUAGCGGUGAAAUGCGCAGAUAUCAGGAGGAACACCGGUGGCGAAGGCGGGUCUCUGGGGCCGAUACUGACGCUGAGGAGCGAAAGCGUGGGGAGCAAACAGG
rnacentral:rRNA from 1 species